rnacentral:rRNA from 1 species
GAUGAACGCUGGCGGCGUGCCUAAUACAUGCAAGUCGAGCGAACGGACGAGAAGCUUGCUUCUCUGAUGUUAGCGGCGGACGGGUGAGUAACACGUGGAUAACCUACCUAUAAGACUGGGAUAACUUCGGGAAACCGGAGCUAAUACCGGAUAAUAUUUUGAACCGCAUGGUUCAAAAGUGAAGGACGGUCUUGCUGUCACUUAUAGAUGGAUCCGCGCUGCAUUAGCUAGUUGGUAAGGUAACGGCUUACCGAGGCAACGAUGCAUAGCCGACCUGAGAGGGUGAUCGGCCACACUGGAACUGAGACACGGUCCAGACUCCUACGGGAGGCAGCAGUAGGGAAUCUUCCGCAAUGGGCGAAAGCCUGACGGAGCAACGCCGCGUGAGUGAUGAAGGUCUUCGGAUCGUAAAACUCUGUUAUUAGGGAAGAACAUAUGUGUAAGUAACUGUGCACAUCUUGACGGUACCUAAUCAGAAAGCCACGGCUAACUACGUG